GGUUAACGCUGGCGGCGUGCAUAACACAUUCAAGUCGAACGGUCUGUAGCAAUACAGAUAGUGGCGGACGGGUGAGUAACGCGUGAGCAAUCUACCUCCCAGUACGGGAUAACAACCGGAAACAGUUGCUAAUACCGUAUGAAAUGGCAGUUACCGCAUGGUACAACCAUCAAAGAUUUAUUGCUGGGAGAUGAGCUUGCGUCUGAUUAGGUAGUUGGUGAGGUAACGGCCCACCAAGCCCGACGAUCAGUAGCCGGUCUGAGAGGAUGAACGGCCACAUUGGGACUGAGACACGGCCCAG
rnacentral:rRNA from 1 species